rnacentral:misc_RNA from 1 species
UUUUCAUUGCUUGUUUAUCUGACGACACAAAUUCAGAGUAUGAGAACUCCGGCGAGUUCGCGCCGGCAGAAUUGAUCUUCCGCCAACGGCUGUUUCCAACGUCUCGCCGAAGCAACGUCGGAUGGUCAAGGGUGGGAGUUCCUGAAGCAGGAAGACUCGGUAAUGAUCCUUCCGCAGGUUCACUGUGGAUGUUAGUUGGAUUUGAUAAUCAGACGAAGAACUUACCCUACGGAAA